UACGUAGGGUGCGAGCGUUGUUCGGAAUUACUGGGCGUAAAGGGCUCGUAGGCGGCCAACUAAGUCCGACGUGAAAUCCCAAAGCUUAACUUUGGAACUGCGUCGGAUACUGGAUGGCUUGAAUUCGGGAGAGGGAUGCAGAAUUCCAGGUGUAGCGGUGAAAUGCGUAGAGAUCGGGAGGAAGGCCGGUGGCGAAGGCGGCGCUCUGGAACAUUUCUGACGCUGAGGCUCGAAAGCGUGGGGAGCAAACAGG
rnacentral:rRNA from 1 species